rnacentral:rRNA from 1 species
AGAGCGAACGCUGGCGGCAGGCCUAACACAUGCAAGUCGAACGGACCCUUCGGGGUUAGUGGCGGACGGGUGAGUAACACGUGGGGACGUGCCUUUUGGUUCGGAAUAGCUCCUGGAAACGGGUGGUAAUGCCGAAUGUGCCCUUCGGGGGAAAGAUUUAUCGCCAUUAGAGCGGCCCGCGUCUGAUUAGCUAGUUGGUAAGGUAAUGGCUUACCAAGGCGACGAUCAGUAGCUGGUCUGAGAGGAUGACCAGCCACAUUGGGACUGAGACACGGCCCAAAACUCCUACGGGAGGCAGCAGUGGGGAAUAUUGCAAC